CAUCUGACACCUUCUCUUUUCUACUAAAGCAGCUAUGAUACUGCCUUUAUCAUAUACUAAAUUUCAGUAUGCAGCUGGUUAUAUAUUUGUAUUUUUAUUUAUAUCUUUUUAGAGAAGAAUAAAUGGAUGGUUCAUUCUGGGUCUCUGCAUAAUAACUCUAUGUUGCCUUUAAACGUCUUAGCCUGUUAUGAAAUUCUUGGUUCACAGCUUUUCCCCACUUAGUCUCUACAGAUGUUAAGACUCUGGUGUUAGCAUUGCAGAGAAGUCUGGGGCUGGGCUGAUUUUUGGUACUUUGUACCAAAAAUGUACAUAACCGUUUUUUAUGCCUGAAAUCUUCUAGGAUUUUUUUUUGUCUUUAUAUUUAUAGUUUAAAAUUGCUCUUAGAUUUUUUCUAGGUGUAGUUUUCUUUUCAUUGAUUGUUUUUUAUCUGUAUUGCCCUAAUCUUUUUUCAGCUUUAGAAAGUUAUUUUUCAGUAUCUUUGGCUGUUUUUGCUUAAUUUUGUCUCAUCUCUCAGAAGCACCAGUUUCCCACAUGUUGACUUUCUAGUCUCUUGCUUCCAUUUCUGUUACUUUGGUCCUCCUUGUUUUCAUUCUUUCUUAUCCUUUUAGUUUGCUUAUUGGGAGAGCUUCUUCAGUUUGUCUGUCAUACCUCCAAUUUCAUUUUCCACAUUGUCAGUUCAGCAUCUGUUCUCUACACUUGUGAAUUUUAAUGAUUGCAUUUUUAGUUUCCUUACAAUUAUUCUUUGAUUAACCUUCGUAGAGUGGGCAUUAGAGACAACCCUGAAUUCAGACCACUACUCUGACAGUUAGAGCUGCUUGAACUUGGGCAAGUUAUUUUACUUCUUGAACUCUCAACUGCCUAUUUUAUAAUAGAGAUGUAAUAACACUUACCUUUUCUACCAGUUUUUAGGAGUAGAGAGAUAAUGUAUAUCCUGUGCUUGGCAUACCGUAGGUGCUCAAUAAACAAUAGCUAUUAUUAAGACUUUGUUCCACUAUCUUUUUAUCUGUUCCUGUUGCCUUUUUAUUUCAGCCUAUUAUUUCCUUAAAAAUUUCUGCUACCAUCUCUAAAGGUAAUAUCUUCUUGUAUAGUGUUUAAGGUAACAAAACAUUACUAAAAUUUUCUCCCAUAUCCUGAAUUAUGUCAUUUAUGGAGAAAGAAUCUUCUCUGGGUCAUACAGAAACAGUUUUCUUUCUUUUCUCAGUGGUAUUUUUUCAUAGGAUCCAUGUGGGUUUGUGUACCCUUUACUUAUGCCUUGAACAAGGUAAAAUGUGUUCUGACUUGAUGUUCUGAAGCAGACAGUAUGAGCCGUGCCUUAGCUUGGUUGCUGUUCACUGCCUGAGCCAGUGCAGGAGGAGUGGCUGAUCGCCAUGCACGGCUCUCAGCCCAUGUCUGAGCUGCAGCAGCUCUCCACUGGUGCCUCGUGCUCUAGUGAAGCAGUGUCACCUUUGUCCCACAGUUCCUGGUCCUCUCUAACACUGAAUUGAUGUAUACAUAGAUGAAAAGAAAAACCAUGGCUCCUAGAAGCCACUACUCUUGAGAUCCUGCCUGUCACCUUUCUACCUGACGCUUGAGGGGAUUUUACCUUUCAAUUGCCACUCACCACUGCUGGUCUCUCCCCAUUGCCCCCUUCCUCUAGCCACAAUUUUUGAAGGUGUUUUUCUAAAAAUUCCUUUCUAUGUGGAAAGAUGACAAAUGUAGAAAAUGAAGAAAAUAAUAUUCUGGCAGCUCUGCACAUCAGCAUCUUUGAUGUAAUGAGUUCAUCAACUUUCUGACUGGUAUAGGCUUUUUAGAAAAACAGCUUUAUUGAGAUAUAAUUCACAUACUAUACGACUCACCCGUUUAAAGUGUAUAAUUCAAUCGUUUUUGAUGUUGGUAUAGGCUUUUAAAAGGUACAUUCCUACUCCUUUUCAGGUAUUAUCUCUUUUUCUAGGUAAAGCUGGGGUAGAUUUUUUUUUUAGAUUUGCUCCAUCUGCCUUAUAGUAAAUGCAGAUUCUGAUUAAAGCAUCUGUUGUGUAAGAAUUCAUGAGUCCCAGCUGCUAAUAGAUAGAUUAAUUAAUAAAUAGAGGAGAUGGAAGGUCUCUUGCUUGCCAUGGAAGGCUGACUGGUAAAUAUGGAAGAGAAUGCUGGAGUUGGAAAGUCAUCAUUUUUCAACUUUUAUGGUAAAGGUAGGCUCAGGCAAGAAUCACCAAUAGAAGCAAACUCUUGGGAAAAUUUUGAUGAGGAGCAGUAUGCUUGUGUGAUCUAAAAAGUGUCUCUUCACAGAUUGCUUAUUAGUUAGAAAGAGAAAAAUAAACCCCAGUUUAUUUUAGUGGAGAAAAAUGUAGAAAUCAGGGAGCAACUAGACCAGUGGCCAAAAUUAAUGGCACCAAUGAGGGAGAGACAGACAUUGUGUGCCUCCAAUGUGAUAUCCCAAGAAGGACAUCACAUCAUCUAUGCAGUGUUCUAGCUGAGUAUUCUCAUUCUGAGAGUCAUGAACGUAUUAUCACUCUAAUCACAAGGAGAUGUCAGAUAAACACAAAAAUGAGGAGAAUUCUAUUUAAGGGGGUGGGCACUGUGUUCUUCAAAAAUGCCCAUGUCACAGAGCACAAAGAAAGGGUAUAGAAAUGUCCAGAUAUAGGGAGGCUAAAGAGAUAUGACAACUAAAUGCAAUACCAGACCAUAGAUUGGAUUCUGUACUGAAAGGGACAAAAUGCUAUAAAGGACAUUAUUAGAUUAAUUUACAAACCUAGACUAUAGGUGAUAGAUUAUAUAAAAGUAUUAUGCUAAUAUAAAUUUAUGAAAUUAGCAACUCUUCUGUGGUAACGUAAAAGAAUAUUCCUAUUCUUAGGAAAUACAUACUGUAGGGAUAAAGGGCCAUGAUGUACGUUACCCUCAUGGUUCAGCAAAAAGUUGCCCAGAGACAGAGAGAGAGAGAGAGAGAGAAGACAAAUGAUAGAGGAAAUGGCAUAAAAUGUUAGUAGUUAAUAAUCUGGAUACAGGGGUACCUUGUGCUAUUUUUAUUUUUGCUACUUCUUGUAAGUUUAAAAUGAUUUCCAAAUAAAAGUUUUGUAUAUUAUUUUUAAGAAAUUUCCUUAUAAGCUUGUGGUAUUUAGAAGUAACCACUUUGGAGUAAGGCCUUAUUCUGGAAAGUGGUUGUUGAAAUGCUGGUGUUCUUUCACUUGCUCAUAUUCAGUGUCAUUUGGCAUGACUGAACUUGGAGCAGGAGCAAGGACCAGGAUUCUACAGGAUAUAGAACAGCUUUGUUUUUUCCUCCAUAUUAAUCAAAUCCAAUGUUACUGAAGACAAUAUGGCAUAGAAAACUAUCUCUGAUUUUUUCCCAGAGGCAAUGUAAAGUGGAAGAAGCAGUGGACUCAAAAGGUUCCUGCCAACUGCCUAGAUGACCUUAGACAAGUCAGUUCACAUUCUCUUGGUCUCAAUUUUCUUAUCUGCUAGAUGCUCAGUGAGGUUCACUAUGAGCUUAAAGUCAAUGUCUGUCUAGCCAUCAUAGUCACCCAAUGCAGAGCACAGCUCACCUGGCAGGGGCUGGAGAAUGGGGAAAAAAGAAUAGAAUGAAAGUCUUUGAAGAGAAUUGAAUGGUUACCUCUACCCAUCCUUCCAAGUCAAGGAGUAAUCCCACCUCUUCCAGAAGCUCAGGUUCCAGAGAACAGGGCAGGAAAGAGUAAGAUGGGACAUCAGGAAAGUGAAGGAUGCCUGACCAAUACUCAGGAUAGGGCAGGCCAGAGGUAGAACCAAAGUGGAAGCCAAGGCCCUGUGCAUGGAGCCAAAAAUGAGCAAUAGAGAAAGGAGUGAAGAGUUGUAACUGGGAUACCAACAAAGACACUUCAAAAUAAGAUCAACAGACUUGGUUAGAAAUGUCUCAGGGCAACUAGCAUAAUCACAGCAUGUGGAAAUGAAAGUCAUUUAAACAUCUGUUGAGAGCCUAUCAUGUGCUUGGGAGUUACUGGAAAUAAAAAAUGAAUCGCACAUAGCACUGCCUCCUAGGAGUUUAAAAUGUGGAGGGACAGGUAUGCACACCACUAACUAGGCUAUACUUUAAUUUGCAGAUAGCACUAAAACAGGAGUUUAAAUCAAGUGCUAUGGGCACUUAAAUCUGGUUCAAUUAAUUUGGUAGGAAGGACAAGGAAAGGCUUUAUAGUGAAAGUGAUAUUUAAACUGGGCCUUGAGAGAUGAGUAGGAUCAUCAGGUGGAGGAUUAGGGAAGAAUAGAGAGAAGAGCAUGUGAAGAGGGGUAAAGGAAUAAGGCGACAUGAUGUGCCUGGUAUCCAGUGAGAAGCUGAGUGUCACUGGAGCAUGAAGAGCACUGUAGACGUGGUAGGAAGUGAAGCCAGAAGAUAGGCUGCCCCUGGAUUGAGAGGGGCUUUGACACUCAUGCUAAGGAAUUUGGGCCACAAUCCAGUAAGAGGCUGGAUGUUGUCAUUAACACCAGGCACUCAAGCAGGUUUCUACACAGCCAGGCCCAGCCUCUGUUAGAAGUCUAGAGUGGGGGCCAGCCCCAUGGCUGAGUGGUUAAGUUUUGCCUUGCUCCGCUUUGGUGGCCCAGGGUUUCAUGAAUUUGGAUCCUGGGUGCGGACCUGGCACCACUCAUCAAGCCAUGCUGAGAUGAUGUCCCACAUAGCAGAGCCAGAAGGACCUACAACUAGAAUAUAUAACUAUGUACUGGGGGGCUUUGAGGAGAAAGAAAAAAAGACGAUUGGGAACAGAUGUUAGCUCAGGUGCCAAUCUUAAAAAAAGAAAGUCUAAAGUGGAGGAGAGGAUGAGGUGGGCAGAAUCGGGAAGGAAAGAGAGAAGUUAAAGCAAUCUUGCAAUUCCAACCUAGACUGAGUGGAAAGGGAUUUUAGUGAUUGAGAUAUAGACUACAGAAGGUUUGAAGGAAGAGAGAUGAUAAAUUUAAUUUUGGUAAAAUUGGGAACAUCCAUGAGAAGCUCAUCAUUAGGCUAUUGAUAAUGUGGUUCUGGAAUUUGGGAGAGAGCCAGGGUUGGAUUUAACUGCUUGGGAGAAAGCAGUGGGAAUAGAUGAGGUGCCUAGGGAGAGAAUGGUGAAUGGAAGGAGAAGAAAGUGAAGAUGUCUUAGGGGAAAACUACCUGAUGAGAAGUCAGUGAAGAUGCCAGGAAAGAUGAGAAAAGUAGGGUGAAAACAAGACAGGAUUGUAUCGUGAAACUGACAGGAAGUUAAGAUUUUACAAAAGAGUUGGGAAUUUUUAAAAGGCUCAGAGGAGGUCAAGAUUGACGAGAAAUAAAAAGAGGUAAUUGGAAUUGGAACUUAAGUGAACAUGAAAUGAGACAGUGGAGUCAGUGAGUAUAAGAAGAAUGAGAUCAUAGGAGAAUAGAGAAACAAGUUGAUAGCUUUAGGUGAAACUAGAGUCUAAGGAAUGUUUGAUGACUUUUUAUUCAGAUAUAAUUUCAAACUUGCAGAAAAGUUGCAAAAAUAGUACCAAUAGCUCCCAUAUAACCAGAUUCACCAUUCACCAUUUGUUAACAUUUUGCCUCAAUUGCUUUAUCAUCCUCUGUCUUACUUUUUUUGAAUGAUUUGAGUUGCAGACAUCGUGCCUCUUUUACCUCUAGAUAUUUCGGUGUAUAUUUCCUAAGAACAAGGACAUUAUUUUCCAUUCCAACAGUACAGUUAUCAGAUUAAGAAAUUUCACAUGGAUAUAAUACUAUUACCUAAUAUUCAUUCCAUAUUCAAAUUUCAGUAAUUGUCCCCAAAAUGUCCUUUAUAGCUAUUUUUCCCCAUUCUGGAUCCAAACCGUGAUUGUGAAUGUAUUUCAUUUAGUGUCAUGUCUCUGGUCUCCUUGAAUCUGGAACAGUUUCUAAGCCUUUCUUUGUCUGUCAUGACAUUGACAUUUUUUGAGGAGUACAGACUGGUUAUUUCAUAGAAUGUUCCUCAAUGUGGGUUUGUUGAUGCUUCCUCAAAAUUCGAUCAAGUUUACUAAUUUUUACAGGAAUAUCCCAGAAGAGAUGUUGUGUCCUUCUAAGGGCAUCAUAUCAGGAGGCGUAUGAUGUUAUUUUGUCCCCUUACUGGAGAUAUGAACUUAGAUCACUUGGUAAGGUGGUAUCUGCGAUGUUUCAUAAGUAGCUAUUUUCCUUCUAUAAUUAGUCGUUUGUGGAGAGAGACUGAGACUGUGUAAAUACCAUGCUCCUCAUUAGAUAAUCACCUAUGAAACCUACUAAAACAAUCGUUUUAUUAUCUAUUGAUGAUUUUUGCCUGGAUCAAUUACCAUGAUGGUUACAAAAUGUGAUGAUUGUUUUCUAAAAAAUUUGUUCCUUCUGUGUAUAUUGG
ensembl:lncRNA